UCUUUCUCUGGUCCAGGGAGUAACGAGGAGAAGUGUAAACACCACCCUGGAGUCCCCAACUUCCACGAGGGGCCUCUGUUCUGUGCUGUCCCCUGUCUGUCAGGAUGAAGUUCUGGAGCUGCUGUAGGAGGAAGACAUCUGACUUUAACGGUUUCCUGGCCCAGGAGGGCUGCACCACAGGAAGUCACCUCUGGAGGAAACCAGAUAAGGGGAUGAAGGUGGUACCGUGUAGUUUUGAUUGGCAACAGAACGGCAGCCAGGUGAUCAUCCUUGUGGUCUUUUGAGGGGGAGAAGGAGUUUGAGCAGAAGAUCAACUUAUGGGGGGUGAUAGACGAGAGUAGCAGCGUGGUGAACAUGAUGGCUGCUAAGAUGGAGAUCUCCAUGAGGAAGGGGCCUGUCUGGACCUGCCCUCUCCCACAGACAUGUGCACUGAGGGGGGGAAGGAGAACAGAAAGGGGAAUGCAUAGAACCAGACAGAGAGAAUGAAAUCUAGCACACUACAUGCUGCUCCCAUACUUUUUUAUGAACCUGUACCCUGUUGGUGGUAGGCUGAGAGCAGUAUGUAUAUCGUACGUAUGCAGGCUUUCUGUAUUUAGUUGUAGAAUUACACUGGGCACUAAUGACACCAAUGACAUUCUACUCAGAAUGCAGAGACUAAACUUCACUGCACUGAAACACUGUCUGAAGGCAAUAACCAUCAGCUCUUUCUACUACCUCCCCUAUCUUCUCAAAUGAGAAGAGAUCCAGGCAGCUAUCACCAUAGAAACACUCUUCAGGAUCUGUAGCUAAUGGAUCAUCAGGAUUUGUAGCUAAUGAGCAAUUAGGUACAGCGAGUCAGAAUGUCAGCAGUUUUCAAGCACACACACACACACACGGAUCAGUCCUCCUGUUCUUUGUCAAGUGCAUUUGAGACUGUUUGUGCCAUUUUAUUGAUAUCAGCUGCCUUCCAGCAAAUAUAACCGGUAAAACAAUGUUCUCUUA